GUGCCAUAUUAAAAGAAGGAGAGCUAGUGGAUGCAUAUCGAUUUCUUCACAAGGACACGGACAUGGAAUGUGGCUUCUCGUGGUCGGGAAAUCCUGUUGGGAAGUAUCGCGGGAAAAGGAUGAGAAUAGAUUACUUUGUUGUAUCUGAUAAAAUGAAAGACAGGAUUGUUUCAUGCGAGAUGCAUGGACGAGGGAUCGAAUUGGAUGGUUUCUAUGGGAGUGACCAUUGUCCAGUAUCACUUGAACUCUCUGUGAAGGAUGAUGCAGAUACCAAACAAGGUUGAAAUGAUUG
rnacentral:misc_RNA from 1 species